rnacentral:rRNA from 1 species
AACGAACGCUGGCGGCAUGCCUAACACAUGCAAGUCGAACGAGACCUUCGGGUCUAGUGGCGCACGGGUGCGUAACGCGUGGGAACCUGCCCUUAGGUUCGGAAUAACUCCCCGAAAGGGGUGCUAAUACCGGAUAAUGUCUUCGGACCAAAGAUUUAUCGCCUUUGGAUGGGCCCGCGUUCGAUUAGCUAGUUGGUAGGGUAAAAGCCUACCAGGGCAACGAUCCAUAGCUGGUCUGAGAGGAUGAUCAGCCACACUGGGACUGAGACACGGCCCAGACUCCUACGGGAAGCAGCAGUGGGGAAUAUUGGACAAUGGGCGAAAGCCUGAUCCAGCAAUGCCGCGUGAGUGAUGAAGGCCUUAGGGUUGUAAAGCUCUUUUACCCGGGAUGAUAAUGACAGUACCGGGAGAAUAAGCUCCGGCUAACUCCGUG